rnacentral:lncRNA from 1 species
AGGUUGUCUAGGAACCACAUUUAAAACGUAAAAGAGAGGCAAGGUGCGGUGGCUCAUGCCUGUAAUCCCAGCACUUUGGGAGGCUGAAUUGAGAGGAUCCCUUGAGCCUAUGAAGCUGCAGUGAGCUGUGAUCGCACCACUGCGCUCCAGCCUGGACGACAGAGCGAGACUCUGUCUCAAGAAAAAAAGAAGAAGAAGAAGAAGAAGAAACAGGAGUUCAACUCAACUGAACAAUUAUGUCCUGAGUGUCUAUUACGAGUACGACAUCCUACAAGGCAUUAAAAAAGUUUGAGGAAAAUCUGAAUAGAAGAAAAGGAAAUGGAGGUCUCCAGCAAAAUCUGCCAAGUGUUUUUAUAAAGUCCCAUCUGAACUUCUUUGGAGUAGACCAAGGUGCAGAAAUCCAUAUCCUCUCCCCACAUUGCAUCCCCUAAAGAGCUUCAAGCAUAGCUGGAAAGCCUUGAAACACAUCUAUUGGAGAGACUUGUCACACUGGACAAAGGCAAGAGCAACUUCUCAGAUGCUGC